rnacentral:rRNA from 1 species
GAAUUUAAUAUAAUUAUAAAAAUAUAUUUAUUAAAAUUAAUAUAUAUGAUUAAUAUUUAAUUGGGAGGAUUAUUAAAUUUAAGAAACUUUAAGAUUAUUUAAAUUAUAAAUUAAUAUAUAGAAUUUUUUUGAGUGGUUAUUAAAUUAAAGUAAAAUUAAUUACCUUAGGGAUAACAGCGUAAUAUUUUUAUAGAGAUCUUAUUGAUAAAAAUGAUUGC